rnacentral:rRNA from 1 species
GCUAGGUCAGGGCAGUGUGGUGCGGUAUGACGCGGGGGGGGGGGGUUGUUCGGGGUUUGUGUGCGUAAAGGGUGUGUAGGCGGUUGUUUAAGUUUGGUGUGGAAUCUCCCGGCUCAACUGUGGGGGUGCGCCGAAUACUGAAGGACUCGAGUGCGGGAGAGGAGAGUGGAAUUCCUGGUGUAGCGGUGAAAUGCGUAGAUAUCAGGAGGAACACCGGCGGUGUAGACGGCUCUCUGGACCGUAACUGACGCUGAGACACGAAAGCGUGGGUAGCAAACAGGAUUAGAUAGCCCUGUAGUC